CCUACGGGAGGCAGCAGUAGGGAAUCUUUCACAAUGGGCGAAAGCCUGAUGGAGCAACGCCGCGUGCAGGAUGAAGGCCUUCGGGUUGUAAACUGCUUUUAUAAGCGAGAAAUAUGAUGGUAACUUAUGAAUAAGGAUCGGCUAACUACGUGCCAGCAGCCGCGGUCAUACGUAGGAUCCGAGCAUUAUCCGGAGUGACUGGGUGUAAAGAGUUGCGUAGGUGGCAUAAUAAGUAGCUAGUGAAAUCUGGUGGCUCAACCAUUCAGACUAUUAGCGAAACUGUUAAGCUCGAGACCGUUAGGGGUAACUGGAAUUGCUAGUGUAGGAGUGAAAUCCGUAGAUAUUAGAAGGAACACCAAUAGCGUAGGCAGGUUGCUGGGACGGUUCUGACACUAAGGCACGAAAGCGUAGGGAGCAAACGGGAUUAGAUACCCGAGUAGUC
rnacentral:rRNA from 1 species